GGACUACCCGGGUUUCUAAUCCUGUUUGCUCCCCACGCUUUCGCGUCUCAGCGUCAGUCACCGUCCAGAGGGCCGCCUUCGCCACCGGUGUUCCUCCUGAUAUCUACGCAUUUCACCGCUACACCAGGAAUUCCACCCUCCUCUCCGGGACUCGAGCCUGACAGUUUCCAAUGCACUUCCGGGGGUGAGCCCCGGGCUUUCACAUCAGACUUAACAGGCCGCCUACACGCGCUUUACGCCCAGUGAUUCCGAACAACGCUCGCACCCUCCGUAUUACCGCGGCGGCUGGCAC
rnacentral:rRNA from 1 species